GACGAACGCUGGCGGCGUGCUUAACACAUGCAAGUCGAACGGAAAGGCCCUGCUUUUGUGGGGUGUUCGAGUGGCGAACGGGUGAGUAACACGUGAGUAACCCGCCCUUGUCUUUGGGAUAUCUUCAGGAAACUGGGGCUAUAAUCGGAUAGGAGCUCCUGAUCCACGGUGGGCGUUGGAAAGUUUCGGCGGUUGGGGAUGGACUCGCGGCUUAUCAGCUUGUUGGUGGGGUAGUGGCUUACAAAGGCUUCGACGGGUACCCGGCCUGAGAGGGGGACCGGCCACAUGGGGACUGAGAUACGGCCCAGAGUCCUACGGAAGGCAGCAGUGGGGAAUAUUGCACAAUGGAGGGAAGCCUGAUGCAGCAACGCCGCGUUCGGGAUGACGGCCUUCUGGUUGUAAACCACUUUCGCCUGUAACGAAGCGUGAUUGACGGUAAUGGAUAAAGAAGCACCGGCUAACUACGUG
rnacentral:rRNA from 1 species